rnacentral:rRNA from 1 species
GUUGACCUCGGAUCAGGUAGGGACACCCGCUGAACUUAAGCAUAUCAAUAAGCGGAGGAA